UACGGGGGGGGCAAGCGUUGUUCGGAAUUACUGGGCGUAAAGGGUUUGUAGGUGGCUCGCUAAGUCAGACGUGAAAUCCCUCAGCUUAACUGGGGAACUGCGUCUGAGACUGGCGAGCUUGAGUGCAGGAGAGGAACGCGGAAUUCCAGGUGUAGCGGUGAAAUGCGUAGAUAUCUGGAGGAACACCGGUGGCGAAGGCGGCGUUCUGGACUGCAACUGACACUGAGGAACGAAAGCCAGGGGAGCAAACGGG
rnacentral:rRNA from 1 species